UACGUAGGGGACGAGCGUUGUCCGGAAUUACUGGGCGUAAAGGGCGCGCAGGCUGUAGAUCAAGUCAGCUGUGAAAUGUCUGGGCUUAACCCGGGCAUGCGGUUGAAACUGAUGUACUGGAGUGCUGUAGAGGCAAGUGGAAUUCCCAGUGUAGCGGUGAAAUGCGUAGAUAUUGGGAAGAACACCGGUGGCGAAGGCGACUUGCUGGGCAGCAACUGACGCUGAGGCGCGAAAGCGUGGGUAGCAAACAGGAUUA
rnacentral:rRNA from 1 species